UACGGAGGGUGCAAGCGUUGUCCGGAUUUAUUGGGUUUAAAGGGUGCGUAGGUGGCUAUUUAAGUCAGUGGUGAAAGUCUGCAGCUCAACUGUAGAAUUGCCAUUGAUACUGAAUAGCUUGAGUAUUGAUGAGGUAGGCGGAAUUGAUAGUGUAGCGGUGAAAUGCAUAGAUAUUAUCAAGAACACCAAUUGCGAAGGCAGCUUACUAAGGAAUAACUGACACUGAGGCACGAAAGCGUGGGGAUCAAACAGG
rnacentral:rRNA from 1 species